rnacentral:lncRNA from 1 species
CUUUGAUCAGCCAGAGUUGCUAUGUCCUGUAACUGUUUUCUUUGUUCUUCAUUAAGACCGUGAGUCAGUGCCUGAUACCACACAGGAUUACGAUUUUGAAUAGUUUGAAAGAUAGCUUUAAAUAUCUGAUACUCAUCAACAGGGUUAUCUUCAUCAUCAAUGAUUGUGGAAUAGCCUUCCAGAGCAGUCUCUUCAGCAUCAUCUUCUUCCCAAUCUUCAUCAUCUCCAUCUUCACCAGCCUGCUUAGCCAGAAUCUCCAAAUAUUCUUGCCCAUCUUCAUCAAUAUCAUCUUCAUCACUCCCCAGUUCCUCGGUUUCAUCAUCAUCUUCAGCUUCAUCAUCAUCAUCACUGUCAUUCUCAUGUUCUGCAUGGCAGGCAUAUGCUCUUUUCAAUCCGUUAAAUAAAAGGAUAAAAGCCGGCAAAAUCUGUCCAGAAACCUGAUUUAAAACUUGGGGUAUCUGUUCCAUAUCAAUAAGAGCACAGAGUCCGAGAACACACAUCUUUCUGUCAUGAAGCCCCAAGAAACAGUCAACAUCAUUAAGCCACUGUGUAAUAAAAUGAUUUGUAACUGGUUCAACAUUAUUAGGGAAGCGAAGAUUUUCUAAGGUAUUGAGUAGUAGGUGUGGAUUAUAAUACAAAGCUGCAAUUGCAACUUGCAGACACAUAGUUCGAAGUUCACUUGUCUUAACCUCUCUUGUCAGUCUUUCUAAGGCUGCUUCCACGAAUAAGGGAAUGCACUGGUCAAUGCCACGCCCUUUGCACUGCAGAAUGAUGACCUCUAACAAUUUUGCUGCAUGACACUCUGCAUCUUCUCCUGCAACUCCUGUAAGAACCUUUUUGCACAUACUGUAUAUCAUUUCAAG